GAUGAACGCUAGCGGCAGGCCUAACACAUGCAAGUCGAGGGAGAGGUUACCUUCGGGUAACCAAAACCGGCGCACGGGUGCGUAACGCGUAUACAAUCUGCCUUUCACAUAGGGAUAGCCCGAAGAAAUUUGGAUUAAUACCUAAUGGCAUAUAAGAGCGGCAUCGUUUUUAUAUUAAAGCUACGGUGGUGAAAGAUGAGUAUGCGUUCUAUUAGCUAGUUGGAGAGGUAACGGCUCCCCAAGGCGACGAUAGAUAGGGGUUCUGAGAGGGAUGUCCCCCACACUGGUACUGAGAUACGGACCAGACUCCUACGGGAGGCAGCAGUGAGGAAUAUUGGACAAUGGUCGGAAGACUGAUCCAGCCAUGCCGCGUGCAGGAUGAAGGUCCUAUGGAUUGUAAACUGCUUUUGUAAGGGAAGAAUAAGGAGUACGUGUACUUUGAUGACGGUACCUUGCGAAUAAGCAUCGGCUAACUCCGUGCCAGCAGCCGCGGUGAUACGGAGGAUGCGAGCGUUAUCCGGAAUCAUUGGGUUUAAAGGGUCCGUAGGCGGGCUGAUAAGUCAGAGGUGAAAGCGCUUAGCUCAACUAAGCAACUGCCUUUGAAACUGUCAGUCUUGAAUGAUUGUGAAGUAGUUGGAAUGUGUAGUGUAGCGGUGAAAUGCUUAGAUAUUACACAGAACACCGAUAGCGAAGGCAUAUUACUAACAAUUUAUUGACGCUGAUGGACGAAAGCGUGGGGAGCGAACAGG
rnacentral:rRNA from 1 species